rnacentral:rRNA from 1 species
GAUGAACGCUGGCGGCGUGCCUAAUACAUGCAAGUCGAGCGAACAGAUGAGGAGCUUGCUCCUCUGACGUUAGCGGCGGACGGGUGAGUAACACGUGGAUAACCUACCUAUAAGACUGGGAUAACUUCGGGAAACCGGAGCUAAUACCGGAUAAUAUAUUGAACCGCAUGGUUCAAUAGUGAAAGACGGUUUUCCUGUCACUUAUAGAUGGUUCCGCGCCGCAUUAGCUAGUUGGUAAGGUAACGGCUUACCAAGGCAACGAUGCGUAGCCGACCUGAGAGGGUGAUCGGCCACACUGGAACUGAGACACGGUCCAGACUCCUACGGGAGGCAGCAGUAGGGAAUCUUCCGCAAUGGGCGAAAGCCUGACGGAGCAACGCCGCGUGAGUGAUGAAGGUCUUCGGAUCGUAAAACUCUGUUAUUAGGGAAGAAAAAAUGUGUAAGUAAAUAUGCACGUCUUGACGGUACCUAAUCAGAAAGCCACGGCUAACUACGUG